AUGAAUUAUAUCUGUUACCAAGUUACUAAACACACUCCGUUCUACAUUCUUAUCCUCUCACAGUGAGUUGAUUAUUAAACUCACUGUGAGAGGAUAAGAAUGUAGAACGGAGUGUGUUUAGUAACUUGGUAACAGAUAUAAUUCA